rnacentral:rRNA from 1 species
GCUUGUCUCAAAGAUUAAGCCAUGCAUGUCUUAGUGUAAAUAACUCUUAUGAAACUGCGAAUGGCUCAUUAAAUCAGUUAUCAAAUACGUGAUGGUCGCCUACUACAUGGAUAACCGUAGUAAUUCUAGAGCUAAUACAUGCUAAAAACCCCAACUUCGGAAGGGGUGUAUUUAUUAGAUUAAAAGCCAAUGCCCUUCGGGGCUCAAUGGUGAUUCAUAAUAACUUCACGGAUCGCACGGCCUUGCGCCGGCGAUGGUUCAUUCAAAUUUCUUCCCUAUCAACUUUCGAUGUUUGGGUCUUGGCCAAACAUGGUGGCAACGGGUAACGGAGGGUUAGGGCUCGACCCCGGAGAAGGAGCCUGAGAAACGGCUACUACAUCCAAGGAAGGCAGCAGG